CGGAGAACGUGGCGGCGUGGAUUAGGCAUGCAAGUCGAACGGUAUAAACCUUUCGGGGUUUAGAGAGUGGCGAACGGGUGAGUAACACGUAGGUAAUCUACCCUUUAAGACGGGGACAACCCAGGGAAACUUGGGCUAAUACCGGAUGAGAGUGCGAGAGAUUGCAUUUAAAAGGAUGGCGAAAGUUAUCGCUUAGGGAUGAGCCUGCGGUCUAUUAGUUAGUUGGUGGGGUAAGAGCUCACCAAGGCGAUGAUAGAUAGGCGGCCUUAACGGGUGGUCGCCCACACUGGGAUUGAGAUACGGCCCAGACUCCUACGGGAGGCAGCAGUCGAGAAUAGUCUACAAUGGCCGGAAGGCUGAUAGUGCGACGCCGCGUGAACGAGGGAGCCCUUCGGGGUGUAAAGUUCUUUUCUAUACGAGCAGUGCUAUAUAUAUGGAUAGUAUAUAUAGAGGGAUAGUAGUAUAGGAAUAAGCAACGGCUAACUCCGUG
rnacentral:rRNA from 1 species